AGCGCUCGUGCACGGUCGGAGGGAGAGAGUGGGAGAGCUUGUGGCCUGUCUCGUCGACGCUCGGCCGCCGCCGCGACGCCGCUGCUGCCGCCGCCAGCUUUUGGACUGCCUCCGGCGCUGUGGCCGUCGACGCCGAGCAGUGAUGACCAGGACGAUGACACCGUGCGACGUCUUACGUAGGCACACCUCCCGCUGACCGCCUACGCCGCGACGAUCUUUCCUCUCGCCAGGCGAAAACUACGACGUGUCAACAACAUUUUUGUUUUUUCUGCUUCCGUGUUUUCAUGUUCCGUGAAACCGCUUCUCCCAUUACCACUCUUCCGUUUCCCAGUGUUUGUUUUCUCCGUUUCUUUCAUCGUGGAUGUUUUGUUUUGGUGUAGCGAGUGACGAGCUUAUGUCAUUAAACGUACAUCCAAUCUGUCGGUAUAUUGGUGUGUGAUAUUUUACUAUUAUAUAUUUAGCCAUCACUUGAAAGCCGUGAAAAAUUUUUGAAAGUGGAGAGGAAAAAGAAAAGGCGCAGAAGGCUUUUUAAGCUUCAUGGAUAUGUGCUCUACGCUUCAACUACUGUCGCAGAAUCAUCUUCCGGGAAAGGAAAUUUCGCCUGAAAUGGUGCCGCGGCCGCACUGAACAUGCGGGCGGCGCUGGUGCGCGUCGCGGCGCUGCUUUGGGUGGCGCUGCACGCCGCCGCAUGGGUCAACGACGUCAGCCCCAAGAUGUACGUCCAGUUCGGUAAGUUUGUGCAGAAAUUGACGUCACCAGUGUCUGAAACUUUGUAAGUACACACGCUUUAUGGAUAAUACACAUAAUUUUUGUCUGCUCCCUUCCCCAUCCACCCAACAUACGCACUAUAUAAUUCUCC